AGAGUGAACGCUGGCGGUAGGCCUAACACAUGCAAGUCGAACGGCAGCACGGUAAGAGCUUGCUCUUAUGGGUGGCGAGUGGCGGACGGGUGAGGAAUACAUCGGAAUCUACCUUUUGGUGGGGGAUAACGUAGGGAAACUUACGCUAAUACCGCAUACGCCCUUCGGGGGAAAGCCGGGGACCAGCAAUGGCCUGGCGCUGAUAGAUGAGCCGAUGUCGGAUUAGCUAGUUGGUGAGGUAAUGGCUCACCAAGGCGACGAUCCGUAGCUGGUCUGAGAGGAUGAUCAGCCACACUGGAACUGAGACACGGUCCAGACUCCUACGGGAGGCAGCAGUGGGGAAUAUUGGACAAGUGGGCGACGAAGCCUGAUCCAGCCAUACCGCGUGGUAGAAGAAGGCCUUACGGGUUGUAAACGUCCCGUUUUUAGGUUAGGGAAAG
rnacentral:rRNA from 1 species